rnacentral:rRNA from 1 species
AUUGAACGCUGGCGGCAGGCCUAACACAUGCAAGUCGAGCGGAUGAAGGGAGCUUGCUCCUGGAUUCAGCGGCGGACGGGUGAGUAAUGCCUAGGAAUCUGCCUGGUAGUGGGGGAUAACGUCCGGAAACGGGCGCUAAUACCGCAUACGUCCUGAGGGAGAAAGUGGGGGAUCUUCGGACCUCACGCUAUCAGAUGAGCCUAGGUCGGAUUAGCUAGUUGGUGGGGUAAAGGCCUACCAAGGCGACGAUCCGUAACUGGUCUGAGAGGAUGAUCAGUCACACUGGAACUGAGACAAGGUCCAGACUCCUAAGGGAGGCAGCAGUGGGGAAUAUUGGACAAUGGGCGAAAGCCUGAUCCAGCCAUGCCGCGUGUGUGAAGAAGGUCUUCGGAUUGUAAAGCACUUUAAGUUGGGAGGAAGGGCAGUAAGUUAAUACCUUGCUGUUUUGACGUUACCAACAGAAUAAGCACCGGCUAACUUCGUG